rnacentral:siRNA from 1 species
UAUUGUGUUAUCCGAAGUUGAG